GACGAACGCUGGCGGCGUGCUUAACACAUGCAAGUCGAACGGAAAGGCCCUGCUUUUGUGGGGUGCUCGAAUGGCGAACGGGUGAGUAACACGGGAGUAACCUGCCCUUGACUUUGGGAUAACUUCAGGAAACUGGGGCUAAUAACGGAUAGGAGCUCCUGCUGCAUGGUGGGGGUUGGAAAGUUUCGGCGGUUGGGGAUGGACUCGCGGCUUAUCAGCUUGUUGGUGGGGUAGUGGCUUACCAAGGCUUUGACGGGUAGCCGGCCUGAGAGGGUGACCGGCCACAUUGGGACUGAGAUACGGCCCAGACUCCUACGGGAGGCAGCAGUGGGGAAUAUUGCACAAUGGGCGGAAGCCUGAUGCAGCAACGCCGCGUGCGGGAUGACGGCCUUCGGGUUGUAAACCGCUUUCGCCUGUGACGAAGCGUGAGUGACGGUAAUGGGUAAAGAAGCACCGGCUAACUACGUG
rnacentral:rRNA from 1 species